AACUGAAAUUCGGGCUAAAAUGGGGAAAAUACCAAGUUGUGGAAGAAAUGGUAAAAAUAGCCAUUUUCGCAUACGAGUGUUGACAAGCCAGCUCGGAAAUCGGAAACGGUCGGAGGCACGCUCACACUAUCCGUAUACCAUCUUGGCAUAAUGGCUUGUAUAUUUUGAGUAUGGCAUGUAUAGCAUUAUAAUCAUUUUAUAUGUAUGGUCUUAUGAUAUGGUUAUUGAGUGGUAUGGAAAUAGAAAUGCUUGGUAAUGAUUAGCCAUUGGAAUGGCUAAUCAUGAUCAUAUUUGGUAUUAUGUAUGUCAAAUUGCUAGCUAAUCCAUGGAAACCAUGAAAUAGGUAAAAUUUACCAUAAAA